rnacentral:misc_RNA from 1 species
UCCGGGUUUCGCCCGGCAGUCUCGUUAGAGUGCCCCACUUAAGGCUGGCAACUAACGACAGAGGUUGCGCUCGUUGCGGGACUUAACCCAACAUCUCACGACACGAGCUGACGACAGCCAUGCAGCACCGUCUCACUCGUUCCCCGAAGGGCACCCCUGCAUCUCUGCAAGGUUCGAGUGGAUUUAACCCAGGUAAGGUUCUGCGCGUUGCGUCGAAUUGAACCACAUGCUCCACUGCUUGUGCGGGCCCCCGCCUAUUCCUUUGAGUUUUAACCUUGCGGCCGUAGUCCCCAGGCGGUGAACUUAAUGCGUUAGCUGCGGCACUGAUCGGGUCAAUCCGACCAACGCCUAGUUCACAACGUUUAGGGCGUGGACUAC